AUUGAACGCUGGCGGCAUGCCUUACACAUGCAAGUCGAACGGCAGCACGGGAGCAAUCCUGGUGGCGAGUGGCGAACGGGUGAGUAAUAUAUCGGAACGUGCCCAGUCGUGGGGGAUAACGUAGCGAAAGCUACGCUAAUACCGCAUACGAUCUACGGAUGAAAGCGGGGGAUCGCAAGACCUCGCGCGAUUGGAGCGGCCGAUAUCAGAUUAGCUAGUUGGUGGGGUAAAAGCUCACCAAGGCGACGAUCUGUAGCUGGUCUGAGAGGACGACCAGCCACACUGGAACUGAGACACGGUCCAGACUCCUACGGGAGGCAGCAGUGGGGAAUUUUGGACAAUGGGCGCAAGCCUGAUCCAGCAAUGCCGCGUGCAGGAUGAAGGCCUUCGGGUUGUAAACUGCUUUUGUACGGAACGAAACGGUGAGCUCUAAUAAAGCCUUGCUAAUGACGGUACCGUAAGAAUAAGCACCGGCUAACUACGUG
rnacentral:rRNA from 1 species